rnacentral:rRNA from 1 species
AUGGCCAUGAACACGAGCAAGGCGGCGCCGUCGGACAAGGACCUGCAGAACAUCGACGACUGGCUGCCCAUCACCUCCUCCCGGAACGCCAAGUGGUGGUACUCGGCCUUCCACAAUGUCACCGCCAUGGUCGGCGCCGGCGUCCUCAGCCUGCCCUACGCCAUGUCCGAGCUCGGUUGGGGUCCUGGCGUGGCGGCGAUGAUCCUGUCGUGGGCGAUCACCCUGUACACGCUGUGGCAGAUGGUGGAGAUGCACGAGUGCGUGCCCGGCAAGCGCUUCGACCGCUACCACGAGCUGGGCCAGCACGCCUUUGGCCAGAAGCUGGGCCUCUGGAUCGUCGUUCCGCAGCAGCUCGUCGUCGAGGUGGGCGUCUGCAUCGUCUACAUGGUCACCGGCGGCAAGUCGCUCAAGAAGGUCCACGACCUGCUCCGCCCGGAGCACAGCCACCCGAUCCGGACCAGCUACUUCAUCUGCAUCUUCGGCUCCGCCCACUUCCUCCUCUCCCAGCUGCCCAACUUCAACUCCAUCACCGGCGUCUCCCUCGCCGCCGCCGUCAUGUCGCUCAGCUACUCCACCAUCGCCUGGGCGGCCUCGCUGCACAAAGCCGGCAAGGCCGGGCCCGGCCACGUGGUCGACUACAGCAUGACGGCCUCCACCACCCCCGGCAGGACCUUCAACUUCCUUAGCGCGCUCGGGGACGUGGCGUUCGCGUACGCCGGCCACAACGUGGUGCUGGAGAUCCAGGCCACCAUCCCAUCCACCCCCGAGAAGCCGUCCAAGAAGCCCAUGUGGCGGGGCGUCGUCCUGGCCUACCUCGUCGUCGCCAUCUGCUACCUCCCCGUCGCCUUCCUCGGCUACUACGUCUUCGGCAACGCCGUAGACGACAACAUCCUCAUCACCCUAGAGAAGCCCCGCUGGCUCAUCGCCGCCGCCAACAUGUUCGUCGUCAUCCACGUCAUCGGCAGCUACCAGAUCUAUGCGAUGCCGGUCUUCGACAUGCUCGAGACCUUCCUGGUGAAGAAGCUGAGGUUUAAGCCCGGCUGGCCUCUUCGUCUCAUCGCACGAUCUCUCUACGUUGCAUUCACCAUGCUCGUCGGCAUCGCCAUCCCCUUCUUCGGUGGGCUACUAGGGUUCUUUGGUGGUUUUGCAUUUGCCCCAACAACCUACUUCCUUCCCUGCAUUAUGUGGCUUGCAAUCAAGAAGCCGUCGAGGUUUAGCAUGUCGUGGUGCAUCAACUGGAUAUGCAUAAUCAUCGGCAUGCUUCUGUCGGUGUUGGCACCCAUCGGAGGCCUCCGUUCCAUUAUCAUCAACUACAAGACCUACCAAUUCUUCUCAUGA